UACGGAGGGGACUAGCGUUGUUCGGAAUUACUGGGCGUAAAGAGUACGUAGGCUGUGUUACAAGUUGGGUGUGAAAGCCCGGGGCUCAACCCCGGAACUGCACUCAAAACUGUAACGCUAGAGAUCGGAAGAGGUAAGUGGAAUUCCCAGUGUAGAGGUGAAAUUCGUAGAUAUUGGGAAGAACACCAGUGGCGAAGGCG
rnacentral:rRNA from 1 species